GACGAACCGUGCGAACGUUGUUCGGAUUCACUGGGCUUAAAGGGCGCGUAGGCGGGAUGGCAAGUCGGUCGUGAAAUCCUUCGGCCCAACCGAAGAACGUCGGCCGAUACUGCCGUUCUUGAGGGAUGCAGAGGAGACUGGAAUUCCCGGUGUAGCGGUGAAAUGUGUAGAGAUCGGGAGGAACACCGGUGGCGAAGGCGGUUAGCUGGGCAGUAGCUGACACUGAGACGCGAAAGCGUGGGGAGCAAACAGG
rnacentral:rRNA from 1 species